rnacentral:rRNA from 1 species
UACGAAGGGGGCUAGCGUUGCUCGGAAUGACUGGGCGUAAAGGGCGCGUAGGCGGAUGGCACAGUCAGAUGUGAAAUUCCCGGGCUUAACCUGGGGGCUGCAUUUGAUACGUGUGAUCUAGAGUGAGGAAGAGGGUCGUGGAAUUCCCAGUGUAGAGGUGAAAUUCGUAGAUAUUGGGAGGAACACCGGUGGCGAAGGCGGGUCUCUGGGCCGAUAUUGACGCUGAGGAGCGAAAGCGUGGGGAGCGAACAGG